rnacentral:rRNA from 1 species
GCUUACGGCCACACCGCCUGGUUCACGCCCAAUCUCGUUUGAUCUCGGAAGCUAAGAUAGGUUGGGCCUUGUUAGUACUUGGAUGGGAGACCGCCUGGGAAUACCAGGUGCUGUAACUU